UACGUAGGGUGCAAGCGUUGUCCGGAAUUAUUGGGCGUAAAGAGCUCGUAGGCGGUGUGUCACGUCGGCCGUGAAAACCUGGGGGCUUAACUCUGGGCGUGCGGUCGAUACGGGCAUCACUAGAGUUCGGCAGGGGAGACUGGAAUUCCUGGUGUAGCGGUGAAAUGACGCAGAUAUCAGGAGGAACACCGGUGGCGGAAGGCGGGUCUCUGGGCCGAUACUGACGUGGAGGAGCGGAAAGACAUGGGUAGCGAACAGG
rnacentral:rRNA from 1 species